CCCAUCGCCAUAUGGCGCUAUGAUGCCAAUUACAACAUGGUAACCAGCAGACUUCUCAGAAAGGAGGCCAUCUUCCAGCCAGGACACACCCUCACCGCAAAGAUCUCCUUCCCCAAGAACGGGCUGUUGCUGCUGUCCACUUGGAGAUUCGUUGACGCCCAAUUAUUUAAUCAGGAUUUUCUUGGUGGUUCUAAGAAGGUGCUUUGAAGAGGUCCGCAAUUAAGAUGGUGCCUUAUAUUGGAAAUGCACAUUUUUAAAACAAGGUAUUUACAG
rnacentral:lncRNA from 1 species